rnacentral:lncRNA from 1 species
UGCGGGUGCGAGUGCUGCCUUGUAGCGGCAUUGGCCUACUCUUUUUCGAAAUCUACAAGGGUGUCUUUAACGUGCAAGAGAUAUGGUUCUCUCUUAACACGGGUCAGCCAUUUAUCGUCCCCUUCCGACGGACUAUCAUCGUUUCCUCAAGACCAUACUCGCAGAUGGUGUCAAGGGAGAGCCGAAAAUUGAGUUCCUGAAAUUUUCA